GCGGUUCCGGUUCACGUCGGCCCGGCAGGGCGGCGACCCGGCGACC
rnacentral:ncRNA from 1 species